rnacentral:lncRNA from 1 species
UCAGAACGAUGUGCCAUGGGACAUACUUCUUCCGUCUGUAAAUAGUGCUACAUACAUCCGGAGCGACAACUAAUUCCGGAUGGAGGGAGUACUCUUUUCUAGAUUGAUUGGAUUAUUGGUUUCCUUUUGUUGGAGUUCAUUCUCUCCUCUUGUAGUGCUUAACUUUCCUUGUGCGUGUGCGCAUGAACUGCAAAAACUUCCUACAUUUGUUUACAGAGGUAGUACGUUACACCAAACUACAAUAGUUGAGGCAACUAUCGAAUAUCAUCAUCAUCUUUCCAAAGCUUCAAUUAUUUUAGAUAGUAAA